rnacentral:rRNA from 1 species
AUGAACGCUGGCGGCGUGCCUAACACAUGCAAGUCGAACGAUGAAACCGCCCUCGGGCGGACAUGAAGUGGCGAACGGGUGAGUAACACGUGACCGACCUGCCCCCCGCCCAGGGACAGCCCUCCGAAAGGGGGAUUAAUACCUGGUACUCCGGAAGCGGCGCAUGCCGCAUCCGGGAAAGCUCUCGCGGCGGGGGAUGGGGUCGCGGCCCAUCAGGUAGACGGCGGGGCAGAGGCCCACCGUGCCGACGACGGGUAGCCGGGUUGAGAGACCGACCGGCCACAUUGGGACUGAGAUACGGCCCAGACUCCUACGGGAGGCAGCAGUGGGGAAUUUUGCGCAAUGGGGGCAACCCUGACGCAGCAACGCCGCGUGCGGGACGAAGGCGUCCGCGUCGUAAACCGCUUUCAGCGGGGAACACUUAAACGAGGGUACCCGCAGAAGAAGCCCCGGCUAAAUACGUGCCAGCAGCCGCGGUAAUACGUAUGGGGCGAGCGUUAUCCGGAUUCAUUGGGCGUAAAGCGCGCGUAGGCGGAGCGCUAAGCGGGACCUCUAACCCGAGGGCUCAACCCCCGGCCGGGUCCCGAACUGGCGCUCUCGAGUGCGGUAGGGGAGAGCGGAAUUCCCGGUGUAGCGGUGGAAUGCGCAGAUAUCGGGAAGAACACCGACGGCGAAGGCAGCUCUCUGGGCCGAAACUGACGCUGAGGCGCGAAAGCUGGGGGAGCGAACAGGAUUAGAUACCCUGGUAGUCCACGCCGUAAACGAUGAGUGCUAGGUGUUAGGCCCUUUCCGGGGCUUAGUGCCGGAGCUAACGCAAUAAGCACUCCGCCUGGGGAGUACGACCGCAAGGUUGAAACUCAAAGGAAUUGACGGGGGCCCGCACAAGCGGUGGAGUAUGUGGUUUAAUUCGAAGCAACGCGAAGAACCUUACCAGGGCUUGACAUGCAGGUGAAGCGGCGGAGACGCCGUGGCCGAGAGGAGCCUGCACAGGUGGUGCAUGGCUGUCGUCAGCUCGUGUCGUGAGAUGUUGGGUUAAGUCCCGCAACGAGCGCAACCCCUGCCCCGUGUUGCCAGCAUUCAGUUGGGGACUCGCGGGGGACUGCCGGCGUCAAGCCGGAGGAAGGUGGGGACGACGUCAAGUCAUCAUGCCCCUUAUGCCCUGGGCCGCACACGUGCUACAAUGGCCGGUACAGAGGGUUGCGACCCCGCGAGGGGGAGCGGAUCCCGCAAAGCCGGCCCCAGUUCGGAUCGGAGGCUGCAACCCGCCUCCGUGAAGCCGGAGUUGCUAGUAAUCGCGGAUCAGCACGCCGCGGUGAAUACGUUCCCGGGCCUUGUACACACCGCCCGUCACACCACCCGAGUCGUCUGCACCCGAAGCCGCCGGCCGAACCCUUUCAGGGGCGGAGGCGUCGAAGGUGUGGAGGGUGAGGGGGGUG